GACGAACGCUGGCGGCGUGCUUAACACAUGCAAGUCGAACGGAAAGGCCCUGCUUUUGUGGGGUGCUCGAGUGGCGAACGGGUGAGUAACACGUGAGUAACCUGCCCUUGACGUUGGGAUAACUUCAGGAAACUGGGGCUAAUACCGGAUAGGAGCUCCUGCUGCAUGGUGGGGGUUGGAAAGUUUCGGCGGUUGGGGAUGGACUCGCGGCUUAUCAGCUUGUUGGUGAGGUAGUGGCUUACCAAGGCUUUGACGGGUAGCCGGCCUGGGAGGGUGACCGGCCACAUUGGGACUGAGAUACGGCCCAGACUCCUACGGGAGGCAGCAGUGGGGAAUAUUGCACAAUGGGCGGAAGCCUGAUGCAGCAACGCCGCGUGCGGGAUGACGGCCUUCGGGUUGUAAACCGCUUUCGCCUGUGACGAAGCGUGAGUGACGGUAAUGGGUAAAGAAGCACCGGCUAACUACGUG
rnacentral:rRNA from 1 species